AGAGGCGGCUGUUAUGCACGGGAGGCGGGCCCGUAGUAAGCGGAGCCACGCCUGCUGUUUAAAGGUGCAGCCCACCCAAAACACAAGGACGAUGACUGGGACCCAUCACCUCCCCUCCUGAAGACGUCCUGAAGUCUUCGUCCAACGCCCAGAAACUCUCACCUGGCCUUCCUCCCAAACCUGUCAGUUCGGUUUCAGCUUGGCCCUCAUCAGAAAGACAAAAGCUGGAAAAAACAAAAGGAUCUUGACCAUCCGAAACUCCCAUCCCCUUGCCUUCCCCAAAGAGAGAUGAGACAAAGUCCCAGUAGAAACAAACUGGUGGAAAAAGAGGCACAGAGUUUCUGCUCUCGCAGCUUUUCAUCUUCUUUCUUUUGCACUUUGAGAUGCCUUAUCUGCUCCCCUUCUUUUGAAUUAAUCAUCAAAAGUGAGUAAGUGUGAGUGCCCGCUUGAUUCAGAUGCACAAAGACGCGUCUCCUCAGAUAAAGAAAGUGAUUAGGUUUAAGGCACAAAGGGGAGACGUGGGGGGAGGGGGAUCAUUCCUUUUACACACAUCCAAUAACGCAAUUAAAUGCCGUCUUCUCAUAGACAACAUUUAACUGAUGAAUAAAUGUGAACGUAAUUUAUUAAAAAUGAAAGCAAACUGUAACACGGAGGUGUUGUGAUGAGGCUCACUGUGGAGUUUACAGUCAUUCCCUGUUGUCUCAGUGAGGCUUAUUAGCAUCACAGCCCGGUUCAUGCUGGGUGCUCAAGUUUAUUGAGACUCAUAUGUGCAGCAUAUAGACGGGGUGUGGAACGGCCCUCAGAGCCGCUGAGACAUUAUCGCUCCUGAGGUAUCAAUUAACUUACACAUUUAUAUUCAAAAGCAAUAAGAAGGAUUAUUAGUAUGCUCUGAGUGGAGCAGUACAAAAAGGGAAGUACACAAGCACUGAAGGGGCUUGUUGUGUUUAAUAGUUUAGAUUUUUUUAUUAUUUUAUUAUUAGUUUUUAUGAAACUCCUCAAGCAGCAAAUGUGAGGUUAGAAUGUGGAUAAAGGAGAAAAUAAACUGCUGCAGAAACUGAUUUUGAUACGAAGGAUCAGGCAUGUUUUUGAUUUUUAACAGCGUCAUCUUAAUGCAGACACUGUUCUGCUUUAAAUGACAUUUCCUUAAUGUGAUGCUAGAAGACAAAUAUAUCUUU